rnacentral:rRNA from 1 species
GACGAACGCUGGCGGCGUGCUUAACACAUGCAAGUCGAACGGAAAGGCCCUGCUUUUGUGGGGUGCUCGAGUGGCGAACGGGUGAGUAACACGUGAGUAACCUGCCCCUGACUUUGGGAUAACUUCAGGAAACUGGGGCUAAUACCGGAUAGGAGCUCCUGCUGCAUGGUGGGGGUUGGAAAGUUUCGGCGGUUGGGGAUGGACUCGCAGCUUAUCAGCUUGUUGGUGGGGUAGUGGCUUACCAAGGCUUUGACGGGUAGCCGGCCUGAGAGGGUGACCGGCCACAUUGGGACUGAGAGACGGCCCAGACGCCUACGGGAGGCAGCAGUGGGGAAUAUUGCACAAUGGGCGGAAGCCUGAUGCAGCAACGCCGCGUGCGGGAUGACGGCCUUCGGGUUGUAAACCGCUUUCGCCUGUGACGAAGCGUGAGUGACGGUAAUGGGUAAAGAAGCACCGGCUAACUACGUG